GAUGAACGCUGGCGGUGUGCCUAACACAUGCAAGUCGAACGGCCACACGAUGAGCUUUCUCCUUUACCGUUAGCGACUGGCGGGCGGGUGACACAUACAUCAGCAUCUUCUUUUUCUUGGGGGACAACGGGGGGACACAGACGCUAAUACAUCAUACGAUCUACGGGAUAAAGCAGUAGAUCUUCGCAGCUUGGGCGAUUCAAUUAGCCGGGGUCGGAUUAGCUAGUUGGCGGGGUAAAGGCCCACCAAGGCAACGAUCCGUAGCUGGUCUGAGAGGAUGAUCAGCCACACUGGAACUGAGACACGGUCCAGACUCCUACGGGAGGCAGCAGUGGGGAAUAUUCGACAAAGGGCGAAAGCCUGACCCAGCCAUACCGCGUGGGUGAAGAAGGCCUUCGGGUUGUAAAGCCCUUUUGUUGGGAAAGAAAAGCAGCAUGAUAAUCCACCGCUGUUUUGACGGUACCCAAAGAAUAAGCCACGGCUAACUUCGUG
rnacentral:rRNA from 1 species